rnacentral:rRNA from 1 species
UACGUAUGGUGCAAGCGUUGUUCGGAAUCAUUGGGCGUAAAGGGUAUGUAGGCGGAAUUAUAAGUCAGGUGUGAAAACUACGGGCUUAACCCGUAGCCUGCAUUUGAUACUGUAGUUCUAGAAUUUGGGAGAGGCAAGUGGAAUUCCUGGUGUAGCGGUGAAAUGCGUAGAUAUCAGGAGGAACACCGGUGGCGAAAGCGACUUGCUGGCCUAAAAUUGACGCUGAGAUACGAAAGUGUGGGGAGCGAACGGG